UGGGGAAUUUUGGACAAUGGGCGAAAGCCUGAUCCAGCAAUGCCGCGUGUGUGAAGAAGGCCUUCGGGUUGUAAAGCACUUUUGUCCGGAAAGAAAGUCCUUGGCUCUAAUACAGUCGGGGGAUGACGGUACCCGGAAGAAUAAGCACCGGCUAACUACGUGCCAGCAGCCGCGGUAAUACGUAGGGUGCAAGCGUUAAUCGGAAUUACCGGGCGUAAAGCGUGCGCAGGCGGUUUGCUAAGACCGAUGUGAAAUCCCCGGGCUCAACCUGGGAACUGCAUUGGUGACUGGCAGGCUAGAGUAUGGCAGAGGGGGGUAGAAUUCCACGUGUAGCAGUGAAAUGCGUAGAGAUGUGGAGGAAUACCGAUGGCGAAGGCAGCCCCCUGGGCCAAUACUGACGCUCAUGCACGAAAGGCGUGGGGAGCAAACAGGAUUAGAUACCCUGGUAGUCCACGCCCUAAACGAUGUCAACUAGUUGUU
rnacentral:rRNA from 1 species